rnacentral:rRNA from 1 species
GUGGCUGAGUUGUUCAGCGAGCAGGCUGCCGUUUACGCUGCGGCCCAGCCGGUCUACCCUAAGGAUCUGUUUGCCAAGCUCGCGGCUCUCACCGAUGGUCACCGCUUCGCCUGGGAUGUUGGCACUGGCAAUGGCCAGGCCGCCAUCGGUGUUGCAGAGCACUACGACAAGGUUGUAGCGACGGACCCGAGCGCGGACCAGCUGCGGCACGCCGUCCCACAUCCCAAGGUCCGGUACCUCCACACCGCCGACACAAUGCCAGAGGAGGAGCUCGUGGCCGCCCUCGGGGAGGGCAGCGUCGACCUCAUCACGGUGGCACAGGCGGUGCCCUGGUUCGACCUCCCGGCAUUUUACGCCGUGGCUAACCGGGUGCUGCGGAAGCCCGAAGGGGUGAUCGCAGUGUGGGGCUACAACUACCACGUGAUCCCCGUGGAGGACAUGCUGUCGCGCUUCUUCCGUAGCACCCUGCCUUACCGGGAUCCCAGAUCAUGGUACCUCAUCGAAGGGUACCGGAACCUGCCGUUCCCAUUCGCGCACAUCGGCCUCGGGAGAUAGGGCCAGCCGGCCGGCUUCGACAUGGAGCAGGAGAAGUCAUUCGCGGGGCUCAUCGGCAUGCUUAGGUCCACCGGGGCGGUGGCGAGAGCCAGCCAGCAGGAUGGCGUGGACCUGCUGGACGAACGCGUGGUCAAGGAGCCAGAGGAAGAAUGGGGAGGGCCGGAGCUUGUCCGCAAGGUGACGUACAAGGCCUUCCUGCUGACAGGAACACCUCGUCCUACUGCUUCUCCUUCUGCAGGAGCCGGACUAGAGGAGUGA